rnacentral:rRNA from 1 species
UACGUAGGGGGCGAGCGUUGUCCGGAUUUAUUGGGCGUAAAGAGCUCGUAGGCGGCUUAGCAAGUCGGGUGUGAAAACUCCAGGCUCAACCUGGAGACGCCACUCGAGACUGCUAUGGCUAGAGUCCGGUAGGGGACCACGGAAUUCCUGGUGUAGCGGUGAAAUGCGUAGAUAUCGAGAGGAACACCUGCGGCGAAGGCGGGUUGCUGGGCUGAUACUGACGCUGAGGCGCGAAAGCCAGGGGAGCGAACGGG